AUCUCUGGCCAUGUCUGUGGGAGCAGUCAGAGUUGAACAGGCUGGUCUGUCCUGGGAGUCAUUGGCAGGGACAGUGGACACUGAAGCUACUGGCAGAGCUAGGUGCAUGGGGCUCGCUGCUGCACAGCCAGCAUCUCCCUAGGCCGGGGCGUCACCUGGAAGGGCUGCUGCUGUCAGCCUGAGGAACUGGCUGGGGGGCAU
rnacentral:lncRNA from 1 species